CUCACUUAGCUAGUUUUCUCUUCAUGGAUCGGUUUGGAUUCACGUAAAUCCCAGGGUGGUGGUCCCCAUGUACAGCUUCCGGAAACCUCCCCCAUACCUGGACUCCGAACCCACCACACUCCGAUCUCAUCCCUUUUUGAAGUCUGACCCUCAGGUCUCCCUUUUGUAAAAGCCCUUCUGAUGACAUUGGACAGCCAGGGUAAUCUCAUCUCAAGAAGCAUAGUCACAUUUGCAAGGUGCUGUUUUGCCAGGUACAAACGCCAUUAUUCACAAGUUUGUCGAUUUAAGGCAUGGAAAUCUCUGGAAGUCCACUACUCAGUCUGCUACAGGCUCCAAGACUUUGCGGAGUCAGAGAUGGGCAUAUUGCAAACUACCCUGAGGGAAUGUGGGCUCCAUCCAAC